rnacentral:rRNA from 1 species
GCUGACCCAGCCAGUAGCGUGGAGGAUGACUGCCCUACGGGUUGUAAACUCCUUUUAUGCGGGAAUAAAGUCAGGCACGUGUGCCCUUUUGCAUGUACCGCAUGAAUAAGCAUCGGCUAACUCCGUG